rnacentral:rRNA from 1 species
UACGUAGGGUGUGAGCGUUAAUCGGAAUUACUGGGCGUAAAGCGUGCGCAGGCGGCUUUGCAAGACAGAUGUGAAAUCCCCGGGCUCAACCUGGGAACUGCAUUUGUGACUGCAAGGCUAGAGUACGGCAGAGGGGGAUGGAAUUCCGCGUGUAGCAGUGAAAUGCGUAGAUAUGCGGAGGAACACCAAUGGCGAAGGCAAUCCCCUGGGCCUGUACUGACGCUCAUGCACGAAAGCGUGGGGAGCAAACAGG